rnacentral:tRNA from 1 species
GGGGAUAUAGCUCAAUUGGUAGAGUGCUUGCCUUCAAUGCACAAGGCCCUGGGUUCAAUCCCCAGCACCA